ensembl:lncRNA
UGCUGUUAUAAAAAAUAGUGGCACGGCACUUUUUAUUUUCUUUAAUCAGAAAAAUAAGCCCUGCGCUUCUGGGAUGGAGGCCCCAGGUGAGCACCGGAGGAAGGGGCCUGCGUGGGUGGGGAGCGAGGGGGCCCACAGGCCAAAGCAGAUGCUGCACCAGAGGCUGGUCAGGACCCGGGAGGGCCUGCGGGUGUGGAGUCCUCAUGAGCAAGUGCAGGGAACUGGGGGUCAGCAGCUGCCUGGCCUGGGAGCCAGGGACACCCACCCCCCUUUCUGACACCCGAGGCCGCCCAGCUGGGCGAGACCAGGCCUGCAGGACCAGGGUCUCCUGUCACUUGGCGCAGGCGUCCAGGUGGUCAACGCUGCUCUCUGGAGGGCCACUGGCUACAGCCUGCCCAGCUCCCCUAAGGUCUGGAGACAGUCAGAGCCCCCUUAAACACCCCCUCCCUUUUGGGCCAGUGGCGUGCCUCAGAUUCCAGAAGACUCGAGUGGGGCUGCCUCGAGACCAAGUCCUGAGGGGGUGGCAACCCCUGACCACAGGUGGGGGCCGUGGAAGGGGCAGGGAUGGGCCCAGGGGUAGCCUUGUAGUGUGAAGUGUGCCCGACUGCAUGCAGGUCAACAGUCAGACGGGACACUGCGGGGGACUGUGGGGAAGCCAGGAGAAGGCGCUGCCCACCCUAUGGGCUCCCCCUCACCUGCAGACCCUGCGGGCAACCCAUCAGUACAUGCCCACGGGGGUGGUAGAGGCAGAGUCCUGAGAGGUGGGGGUGGGAGCCUCCGGGUCCCCUGCAGCUCCUGACCCACCAGAUGGGCCCAUGUGCCCCCUGCAGCUUGGGGGCCCUGGAGGUGGACACCAGCACCUCCUGACUACCAGGAGGAGGGCCUGAACCGAAACCCACACCUUCACCAUUCACCACUGGGCUAUUCUGCAGGAACUGCAGCACCCCACAGAUCCUUCCUGCCCAGCACACCACUCACUCACGCCCUCUCUCGCACGCACGUGCACACAGCGCGCAUGCGCACACAGCACGCACACACCAGGCUCACGCGCUCUGCACAGGUGGCACGCCUGGGGCAAGCGUGCACGCAGACUCAGAGAUGCAAGGACAGUAUUGUCAAUUCAGAGGCACAGAAAGACGCUGAGGGGCCCCCAGCAAGCUCCCCGCCCUCGGGGGCUGUGUUCCCCUCCCAGGGCACGCACACCACAGGCAGCAACGCGGGUGGGGGCACUGUGACACCAGUGGGGGGAGAGGGGGCAUGGCGGGGCAGCACGCAGAUGCCGGUUCAUCUCUCCUCCUGGUGUGGUGGGCCUCAGCCUGAUCACGGCCCUGCAGGGGCUCCCGCCUCCAGCCGAGCCUCAACUUCCAAUGACAAACAGCCCAGCCCUAUCUAGAGAAGGCCUCAGGCUAGUCCAGCAAAGCAUCUCCGGCCCGAAGGGCAAGGCAGCCUUGGCCCUCAGGGCCCUGCCAGGGUGCAGCUGACACUGGAGUGGGCUGGAAAACCCAUAUGGGGAGGUGCCUGCAGGCAUCAGGCUCCAGGGCUCACAGAUGGGGCCUGACGGGCCACCCCGGGGGCACAGGAUCGGGUCCACCGUGACCUCAGGGGCCGGCAGGGAUGGCCCAGGGCCAGAAGCGAGAGCCGCGGCUGACGGGCUGGCACCAGAUCCAACAGGGACCGCCGCGGCUGGCAGAGAAGCCCCAGGAGAGGCCGGCAGGGUGGGCCUGGCUGCCCCAGGAGUGAAGGGCGAUCGGGAAUGGGGAGCAAUGGCUGGGGUUUGCAGGGCUUGUUGGGGCCCAUGGCCGCAGGGGCUGGCAGGGCUGCUCCGGGCCCAUGAGCGGCCGCUUGGGUGGGCAGGGCUGCUCCGGGCCCAUGAGCGGCUGCUUCUGCUGCCUUGGCCGUCCCGGGCCCAAGAGUGAAGGCGUGAGUGGGCCAGGCUGCUCUGGGGCUUCCACUAACUGCUGGGGCUGCCUGGGGGCGCAGCAGUGACCGCCCGGGGGACGGCUGGGCUGGCCCAGCAGGGACCUUCGGGCUGGCCGUGACACGGGCUGGAAGGCCCGGGGGCAGCAGCACUGUCCUGGGAGGAAGCUGGCGGGCCGUCGUGGUCGGAGGGUGAGGAGUGGCCGUGGGGCUGGUAUCGCUGGCAUUGGGCUAGCAGCGACCACAGGGGCCGGCUGCGCUGUCCUGAGGAUGCCCUGCCAGGCUGGCCACAGUGACACGGGUUGGCCGCGGGGGCCGGCAGCGGUGCCACAGGGUCAGCAGGGACGCCGGCGUGCCUUGGGGCCAGGAGGGACCGCAGGCGCCGGCAGUACAGGCAGGGGACCAGAAGGGGAGGGCCAGGGAGGGACAUAGGCGCCGGCAGUGGUGACACGGGUCAGCAGUGACCGUGGCGCCGGCAGCACUGCCUGGGGCCUGGGAGUGCCCACGGCAGGGCUGGGCCAGGCGUGACCGCUGGGGCUGGCAGAGCUGAUCUGGGGCUGGAAGGAGCCGCUGGGGCCGGCAGGGCUGACCGGGGCCCAGAAGUGACCGCCGGGGCUGGCAGGGCUGUUUCAGGCCCAGAAGUGACCGCUGGGGCCAGCUGCGCUGACCCAGGAGUGGCCGCUGGGAGGGCUGGCAGGGCUGCCCGGGGUCCGGGAGUGCCGACGGGCUGGGAGGGACCCCUGGGGCUGGCUGGGCUGGCUGGGCUGGAGCUGUUGCUGAGCUGGGCCGGGCCGUUCUGGUCCCAGUGGCUGGCUGGGAGCGGCCC